GCAGAUCCAAUUUUCUGCCACCGAAUACAUUAGCAUGGGAUAAUGGAAUAGGACCCUGUCCUCCUAUUUUCAGUUGGUUUUGGCAGCGCGAGGACUAGGGUAAUGAUUAAUAGGGAUAGUUGGGGGCAUUAAUAUUUAAUUGUCAGAGGUGAAAUUCUUGGAUUUAUGAAAGAUUAACUUCUGCGAAAGCAUCUGCCAAGGAUGUUUUCAUUAAUCAAGAACGAAAGUUAGGGGAUCGAAGACGAUCAGAUACCGUCGUAGUCUUAACCAUAAACGAUGCCGACCAGCGAUUAGGAGACGUUGAAUACAAAACACCACCAUCGGCGCGGUCGUCCUUGGCGUCGGUCUUUCUGGGCCGGCCCGGGGACGGCUUAGCCCGGUGGCACCGGUGAAUGACUCCGCUAGG
rnacentral:rRNA from 1 species